rnacentral:misc_RNA from 1 species
CAAAGGUCUCAUUAUUACUCC